GUGCUUGCUUCAGCAGCACAUGUACUAAAACUGGAACAAUAAAGAGAAAAUUAGCAUGGCCCCUGUGCAAGGAUGUCAUGCAAAUUUGUGAAACAUUGCAUAUUAAA
ensembl:snRNA U6 U6 spliceosomal RNA